GAUGAAGAACGUAGCGAAAUGCGAUAAGUAGUGUGAAUUGCAGAAUUCAGUGAAUCAUCGAAUCUUUGAACGCACAUUGCGCCCCUUGGUAUCCCGAGGGGCAUGCCUGUUCGAGCGUCAUUUCACCACUCAAGCCUGGCUUGGUGUUGGGCGACGUCCCCUUUGGGGACGCGCCUCGAAACGCUCGGCGGCGUGGCACCGGCUUUAAGCGUAGCAGAAUCUUUCGCUUUGGAGGUCGGGGCCCCGUCUGCCGGAAGACCUACUCGCAAGGUUGACCUCGGAUCAGGCAGGGAUACCCGCUGAACUUAAGCAUAUCAAUAAGCGGAGGA
rnacentral:misc_RNA from 1 species